GAAUCAAAGUGCGGAGUUUUCUCUCUUUUUCAUGAGAUUUUCACUGAAUUUAGGGUCAAUUUUACCGUAAAUGUGUAAAUAAAUGGUGAGCAAUAUACUUUCUAAAAAAAUCUCGGUGAAAUUCUUGAAGAUUUUAGUGGAAAAAGCGUGAAAAUUCUGUUCACUGAGGAUUAUCCGCACGCCUAAAUUUUAAACCCUGUCAAGAUUAGGAUUUUACCCCUGUUUUAACCUUGAGUUAACCGUGUUUUAAUCUCUCAAGGGUUGAUUUUCAUCCUUGCCACGGUUAGUAUUGGUGCAAUGUGUGCGCGUCUAAAGCCAUUGUGCGGCGUUUCCUCAAGUUUUCACAGAAUUUAUCCCAAUUUUCCACCAUCAAUGCCUAAAUAAACAGUGAAAAAUUAAUUUUCAUAAAAAAUAUCGGUGAAAUUUUUGAAGGUGUUAGUGGAAAAAGCGUGAAAAUGCUGUUCACUGAGGAUUUUCCGUACGCCUAAAUUUUAAACCGUGUCAAGAUUAGGAUUUUACCCCUGUUUUAACCUUGAGUUAACCUUAAGUGUUUUAAUCUCUCAAGGGUUGAUUUUCAUCCUUGCCACGGUUAGUAUUGGUGCAAUGUGUGCGCGUCUAAAGCCAUUGUGCGGCGUUUCCUCAAGUUUUCACAGAAUUUAUCCCAAUUUUCCACCAUCAAUGCCUAAAUAAACAGUGAAAAAUUAAUUUUCAUAAAAAAUAUCGGUGAAAUUUUUGAAGGUGUUAGUGGAAAAAGCGUGAAAAUGCUGUUCACUGAGGAUUUUCCGUACGCCUAAAUUUUAAACCGUGUCAAGAUUAGGAUUUUACCCCUGUUUUAACCUUGAGUUAACCUUAAGUGUUUUAAUCUCUCAAGGGUUGAUUUUCAUCCUUGCCACGAUGUCGGAACUCCAGAUUUGCAGAAGUUCGAACGAGAGGAUCAUACUGAAACAUGGAAAUUCUACCUAAAAUUUCAAGAGGAGAGAGCAGAAGCACGCCAGGGAGCAGUGGAAAGUGCAAAAUAAAAUAAUUGCCACCGUCCUAACCUCUUACACAUCCUUUGAAGUGGUGCAGGCUGAAGCAGAAUUGAUUAAUUUUUAGGAAUUACGUAGGUUUGAGAAACCAAAAAAUAUGCCCUCUUUAAUUUUUUUUUAAAUAUAAUAAAGAAUAUUUCUUCAAAUCCUACUCUGAAACAUAAAAGUACAACAUUAGAACAAUAUUUUCUAAAAUUUUCAUUUACAAAUUUUAAGAGGUUGAUCUUUUAAAAUGAUUUUCGGAGACAUAACUCACAUAAUUUUUCUCUGAAGUCAGUAAACUAAAUAUUUGCUGUUAGCAGUUGAGUAAAAGUUAUAUUUCAACGAAAGUUUAAAAACAUGAAAUUUGUUUUCAAUAGCAUUUUUUACAAGAAAAAAUGGCGUAUUUUACACUACAUUUCGCCGUGCAAAAUAAGGUAUGACCAAGGAAAAAAAAACAAAUCCUUGUUUAAGUUUUAAACAAUCAACUCUAGAAGUAUGCAAAUUUUCGAUGAAAUUGAUGCAUUAGUUUUCGAAAAAUUUUGCAUAUAAAUCUCACAAAUUGAGAUUUUAAAAAGAGCUUUUACAGUUGAUGCUUCUCAAUUGGCUUUAAAUAAAUUUGUAAAGGCUCUAUCCUAAAGUUUCUCACUGGCUUGAAGUUUGAAAUGAGAAAAUAUUCUUCACAUGUUGUACUUUGUUAUCAAAGAAUAUGUAUAUAUUUUUUUUAAAGUCGCAAUACUACAAAAAAUUUCUACUAGGGUGUAUACGCCAUGCUGGCGUAUACACACUAGUAGAAUUUUUUUUAAAAAUGCCUUUUUAAAGCAAAUUUCCCAUAUCCUUGUAGGUAGAAACGUCAGAAUUUUUUAAAAAAGGCAUUUAAAAAAAAAUUCUACUAGUGUGUAGACGCCAUAAAGCUGUUAAGGUAAUCUAGAUAUAUUUAUUUAUUUUUCAUUGAGAUAAGAUUAAAUAUUGAAAACGAAUAUAUAGAUAAACAAAUACUGUCAAUUUUUCUUGAUGAAUUUUCCUAAGUUUUUGCUUAAUUAUUUUGAAAAUAACUUCUCAUGCUGUUGUAAAAUUUACUCCCUAGUUUUUGCCAAUAUUGUUUAAAAAAGCUUUAAAUAACAGAUAUUUUUACGAUACCUUAAAAAACAAUAAUAUAAUAAAGUUUAAAGUAAUGAAAUAACUAGGAGUUAUAAAUUCUUAUAUUUGUGUUAAAUUGUAAUUAUUUAAUAGUAAAAUAAGGAAUUAUUAUGAUAUAUUGUUAGAGAAAGAAGUACCAUUUUAUUGUAAUAAAUUCUAAAUGUUUACUUAACCUAA